rnacentral:lncRNA from 1 species
CUUUGAUUCUGUUCAUUGGCGACUUUUCAACUAGAGGCUCUAGCAAUAAAUUUGGACAAAACAGAGACUGUUCAAUUUCAAAGCUACUCCAGUAAAAAAAUGCACCUCUGCUGGUGUUUUAUAUUAAAAUUUAUGCCAUCUCUCAUUCUAAUAGAUUUUCUCUGUGAUUUGUCCAUGAUAUCAUGAGUUCAAAAUGCUAUCUGUUCUCCUUGAUACUGCACUUUUUAGAAAAGCAAUCCCUUUUCUAGUUCUCUCCUUUGAAGUUGCUCAUAGCAUGAGAGGUCCAGCAUCAAGAGUACUUAGACUAAACCAUGCAGAAACCCCAGUGGAAGUCGGCAGGAACCUCAAUUAUUUUACUUCAGCCCAUGGGAUCCCACUUCAGUUGCAGCUGUUUGAAUUAACAUGUCUUCUUGCUGCGUCUCCUGGCUGAGGAAAGUGCAAGAAGUGCUGUCAUGGCCAGCAGAACAAACAGAUACCUGAUGUAUUACUUCAUCAGCAAAUUCAACAAGGCCAAGAUGUCUUCAUUUUCCUUCAGAGCAAGAGCUGUAAGAGCAGUGUGGUGGAAGUAUUGGUCUUCUGUGGCCAGCCGGCAAGAACCCAUCAACAGCUGUGAUGAGCAGAGCAGACAUGGGAGACAGGAGGCAGCUGAAGCCAAAGAGGACCCACGCCUGGAGCUGUGUCUGUAUGAUUGGAGCAGAGAGAGGCCAGGACCCAAGGAAAUCCCAGCAGCAAGGGAAAAAAACAGAUUGACUCUCAGUGACUCAUUUAGCUCCUGGAUUGGACAGAUCUCUCCCCUGCUGGCAAUUUGGCUGAGCAUCAAUGGCCAGAUACCAGGAUGA